rnacentral:rRNA from 1 species
UACGAAGGGGGCUAGCGUUGCUCGGAAUUACUGGGCGUAAAGCGCACGUAGGCGGUCUUUUAAGUCGGGGGUGAAAUCCUGGAGUUCAACCCCAGAACUGCCUUCGAUACUGGAAGACUCGAGUCCGGGAGAGGUGAGUGGAACUGCGAGUGUAGAGGUGAAAUUCGUAGAUAUUCGCAAGAACACCAGUGGCGAAGGCGGCUCACUGGCCCGGUACUGACGCUGAGGUGCGAAAGCGUGGGGAGCAAACAGG